AAGACUUUCUUUUCUGCUUACAACAUAAAAUCCAAUCGAUGUAUUGGCCGUACUCAAAAAAAUCCGCUUUAUGUAUAAUCUGCGGAAGAUUACACAAAUUCAAUAGCAUGAAUAUCACAAAGAGCCAACGAACCAGUCCAGAGUAACAAUCUGUUACAAAAACAAAACUUUUGAUGCUUAUUGAUGAUAGCAAAAUACAUGAUCCAAUAUUUUCUCUUCAAAUGAUAGGUAUAAGGAC